CAGAGUAAAUGAUGGAGUAGAAACUGCUUCCAGAAACUGCGUAAUUAUAAAACAAUCUGCAUUUGGAAGUGAGAAUUGGAUUGUUUUUUCGGAAGCCUUCAACAUCUUAGAUACAAAUAUGGCAAUAGACAGCUUGGAAUCCACCGCCGAAACCAGCAUAAAUGAUUCAAACACAGCGUCUACGUCUGAAAUGGACAUUUGU